rnacentral:rRNA from 1 species
UACGUAGGGGGCAAGCGUUGUUCGGAAUGACUGGGCGUAAAGGGUGCGUAGGCGGUGUAGCAAGUUAGAAGUGAAAUACCUAGAGCUUAACUCAGGUGCUGCUUCUAAAACUGCUAUACUUGAGUGCAGUAGAGGAAAGUGGAAUUCCUAGUGUAGCGGUGGAAUGCGUAGAUAUUAGGAGGAACAUCAGUGGCAAAGGCGACUUUCUGGACUGUAACUGACGCUGAGGCACAAAAGUGUGGGGAGCAAACAGG